AUAGAUGGUACCAUUUACACAAUAUGGCUGUGGUCGCUGUUGGAGAUUUUACUGAUACACAGUGUAGUUGAAUUGACAAGGACUCGCUUUGGGGGAAAAGUUUCAAUCUCCACCCCGCCACUUAUACCAGAAUUUCCUGUUCCAUCUCAUGGUGAACCACGCUUUUCAUCUUUUGUUGAAUCUGAAGCUGGUGGGGUACAAAUUGAAAGAUCCAUUGAUUUAAGAUCCUAGAUGGAUUUCUUGUUCUCAACCAGCUUCUACAAGCGUGCAGCAACUUGUGUACAGUUGCACUAGCAUGGUAUGUCUUGCCACUUCUACAAGUGUGCGGCAACUUGCAGAUUGUAUGCUCAGAGGCCAUUUUUACUUGAUUUAUACCAAAACCAAAUUGCAAGCAUCGACAGAGAACAUAAGAAACUGUUACGAAUGAAUUUAGCAAACUUAUAACAGAAUUAUUUUAUACA